UACGUAGGGCGCAAGCGUUAUCCGGAAUUAUUGGGCGUAAAGAGCUCGUAGGCGGUUUGUUGCGUCGGCUGUGAAAUCCCGAGGCUCAACCUCGGGUCUGCAGUCGAUACGAGCAAACUAGAGUGUUGCAGGGGAGACUGGAAUUCCUGGUGUAGCGGUGAAAUGCGCAGAUAUCAGGAGGAACACCGGUGGCGAAGGCGGGUCUCUGGACAGUUCCUGACACUGAGGCACGAAGGCCAGGGGAGCAAACGGG
rnacentral:rRNA from 1 species